rnacentral:lncRNA from 1 species
AUCAUGAUCACCCUAAAGCUAGAAGCGAUUACUCCCAAAACUUACUCAUGCGCAAGUAAAAAUCUGUCAAAUUAUUGUCUCUCUGGUGCAAUGGUUGGUAUAGAACAAAAACAAAAAGGUUGUCUAGUAGAAAGGCGUAGACUUCAACGAGGAGAUUCAUUUGAGCUUUUACUAGUCCAAACUUGAAUCAUUUGUCCAUUUUACAUAAAUGUAUAUUCAAAUUUGAAUUGUCAAAUUUUUAAAUGAUAUUUUGUAUGUGUUUGUUUUGUCAGAAUGGGGUCUAAUUAAAGGAAGAAGAAGAAGAAUAGAAAGAUGAUUUUUUUUUUACCAACUUCGACAACGUGUGCCUCAGCCAGUUAGUAUAGUUUUGUAUUUUCUUUUUCUGAAAUGACUCUGGUUCUUGCAUAGCAAGUAGCAACUCAACAAGUGUCGAGAAUUUAGAUUGUUCUUCUAAGAAUUUCCAACGUUGAGAUAUGACAAUAUUAACUUUUUCUAAUGACAGGAUCGGACAUGUGGAGAAGUACAGGAUCGGACACUAUAGGAAUGAUUGUUCUAGGGGUGCGACAAAGACAAACGAGGACGCUUAGUCCCUGACUUGUUCAGGUAUCAUGAAAUGACAAAUGCAUACAUAUAUACAUAAUUGACAAAGAUCCGGUUAGGUUAGGUGUUAGUACACAUUGAUAAGGACUUCUAAUCUUUUUUAUAGUUUUUAUGUGAUGCCAUUAUGCCAUGAAGAUUAAUUACUUUGUUUGUGUUAUAUAAUUUUACUGAGUCUCCUAGGGUAAAAUGUGGAGACACAAAGAGAGAGGCCAUAUAUAUUUAGACAGUUGCAUAAACAAUCAACACCAUUAUUGGCUUUAUAUGCAUGUAUACAUAUAGAGGUUCGGAGAGGAUAAGUGGUUGGAAAACUUACCGUUGAGAGAGCAAUAUCCUUGUUUAUACAACAUUACUUGACAUAAGCAUACU